rnacentral:rRNA from 1 species
UACGUAGGGCGCGAGCGUUGUCCGGAAUUAUUGGGCGUAAAGAGCUCGUAGGCGGCUUGUCACGUCGGGUGUGAAAGACCGGGGCUUAACUCCGGUUCUGCAUUCGUUACGGGCUAGCUAGAGUGUGGUAGGGGAGAUCGGAAUUCCUGGUGUAGCGGUGAAAUGCGCAGAUAUCAGGAGGAACACCGGUGGCGAAGGCGGAUCUCUGGGCCAUUACUGACGCUGAGGAGCGAAAGCGUGGGGAGCGAACAGG